rnacentral:tRNA from 1 species
AUGGAAACAUACUAAGUGAUCACUUUCAAAUUCAGAGAAACCCUGGAAUUAGAAAUGGGCAAUCCUGAGCCAAAUCCUGUAAAAAAAAAAAAAAAGAAUCAAAAGGGAUAGGUGCAGAGACUCAAUGGAAGCUGUUCUAAAAAAUGGAGUUGACUAACGUAAUACGUUAGUCAAGUCAAGGAAUCCUUACAUCAAAACUUAAAAAAAGAUGAAGGAUAACCUUUCUUUCUAUAAACUUAAAAAAAAAUCAAAAUACUUUUUGAAUCAAUUGAGAGUUGAAGAAAGAAUUAAAUAUGAUUUGAUCCAAUCAUUUACUCCAAAGUCUGAUAUAUCUUUUUAAAAAUGGAUUAGUCAGAUGAGAAUAAAGAUAGAGUCCCAUUCUAUAUGUCAGUA